rnacentral:rRNA from 1 species
AAGUCCCUUGGGAUGUAAACUCCUUUCGAUCGGGACGAUUAUGACGGUACCGGAAGAAGAAGCACCGGCUAACUCUGUGCCAGCAGCCGCGGUAAUACAGAGGGUGCAAGCGUUGUUCGGAAUUAUUGGGCGUAAAGGGCGCGUAGGCGGCCUCGUCCGUCCGGCGUGAAAUGCCUGGGCUCAACCUGGGAAUUGCAUUUGAGACUGCGUAGCUAGGGUGCGGAAGAGGGAAGCGGAAUUUCCGGUGUAGCGGUGAAAUGCGUAGAUAUCGGAAGGAACACCAGUGGCGAAAGCGGCUCACUGGACCACAACUGACGCUGAUGCGCGAAAGCUAGGGGAGCAAACAGGAUUAGAUACCCUGGUAGUCCUAGCCCUAAACGAUGAUUGCUUGGUGUGUCGGGUACCCAAUCCCGCCGUGCCGAAGCUAACGCAUUAAGCACCCCGCCUGGGAAGUACGGUCGCAAGGCUAAAACUUAAAGGAAUUGACGGCCGUCAAUUCCUUUGAGUUUCAACUGCACCCGGUUGGUCCAAUGGUCCUGGCGGGGCUGAUCUUUUAUCCGAUAGAGCAAGCCCGCGAGGUGCUCCACUUCUACCGCGAGUAUGCUGCCUCCCGUAGGAG